UGAGGUCCUUAUGCUCAAGCUAUGCU
rnacentral:piRNA from 1 species